UUACCUACGGGACGCAGCAGUAGGGAAUAUUGCUCAAUGGGGGAAACACUGAAGCAGAAACGCCGCGUGGAGGAUGAAGGUUUUCGGAUUGUAAACUCCUUUUGUUAGAGAAGAUAAUGACGGUAUAUAACGAAUAAGCACCGGCUAACUCCGUGACAGCAGCCGCGGUAAUAAGGAGGGUGCAAGCGUUACUCGGAAUCACUGGGCGUAAAGAGCGCGUAGGCGGGAUAGCAAGUCAGAUGAGAAA
rnacentral:rRNA from 1 species